GUUCUCUUGAGACCCUGGUUAGUUCCUGAGAGAGGAGAUUGUAUAAAAAGAGCAAGACUCCCCCAAAUCUCUCCGGUUUCCUGUCUCUUCCUGCAAUUGUUCUUACAUGUGUUUUCACCACUGUGACACCCUCUGCCAGGAGGCCCUAACCAGAGUUGAACAGAUGCCAACCCAUGCUUUCGAGCCUCCUGAACACAUCACAUAAUGCUGUAAAAAACAGCAUUAAAAAUUUGCAGUACCUAACACUCGGAAGCCACUGGAGAAUCCACUGACAGAUUAACCAGAGAGCUUCAACAUCUACAAGCUUUGAUCCAAUAUGCAACCCACCCAAAUGGGCUGAGAUGCCCUGAAGAGUCAUUCUCCACAGCUGGAAACAAUUCCGCCUUUCAGACUGAAGCCUGGAUGUGAAAGGAGCCCAUGACCGCGGCAUCUUCCAGGUGUGGCCAAGCUGCUGUGGAGCUCCAGGGCAGCCCAGGCACAGCCACACCUUCCCACCUUUCCUUUAUUUGUCAUUCAGCUACUCGUUUCGGGAGUAACCUCUUUCACUUCCAUCACUGCACCCAGUCUACAGCAUUUGUCUCUCUUUGACAUUAAUAGCUUUUUAGAUUCCUGAUUGUCACUCCUGCUUCCUGGAGGCAGAGCCAGCAGGCAUGCCACAUGGUUUAUUGAGUCUCCAGCUGGGACCUCUGAGGGAUACUGAGAGGCCUCUUCCAUGUCAGCUGCCUCCUAACCCUCCACUGUGUUGUGGAAUUCCCCUUACGUCCCGUGAAUGGACCGGCAGCAGCAUAUCUCCGGCCACCUGGGCUCCCCACUGUUCCUGGCCCUUGCAGUCAACAGAUGUGUUGUUCAGAGACGGCUGGCCAAGCUGUGGAUGCGAAGCCUUCCCCAGGCUUGGCUCUGGAAGCUCCAACUCAAAACUCUGAGCGGGAGCAUCUGAGGCUCCUCCAGGAAACAGGUUAUACAAAUCUUUCUUCUCUAUCACUCAGCUCAUGCAUAUUCAUAAAUAGAACUCCGGGCUGAAGAUAAUGAUUCAUGCAGGAAGCACCAUUCUGAACAUUAUUAUCUGGGAGUGACAAAUGAAUUUCUAAUUUAACAUGUGUAUUGCACAAAUAGAUCACAAGAACUUUAAAGUCAGAAGCAUCCUUUGGAGUCAUGCAAACUUCUGUUGUACCAUAAAAUGAUAGAGAAAGGAAGAAGUCUCCCACCGGUGGGCGGUACAUAGUGGUUCCCAUCAAAGCAGAGGAGAAAUGAAAGGCAGUGAGAUUUCAAACACUGCUUGAGUUUACAAUAGAAGACAAUAAUAAUGACCAGGAAUAAAAGAACAAUGGCAAAAACAGAGAGCCAGCCAGUAGCACAAGCAACGCCAUGAUUUCUAGUUAUUACUUGAGGAUGAACAGAAUUCUCCCUUCCCCCACCCCCUGCUGACAACAAAAAUGGAAUGGAGGUCAGUUGAGUUCCGUGGUUGUUCAAUAAGAAUCAGAGGGCACCAACUGCAAAGCAAGCCUGCAGAGGGAGGG
ensembl:lncRNA